UAAAAGAUAAGCUAAUGAAGCUGUUGGGUUCAUACCCCAAAUAUGAUUUUUCUCUUUUAG
rnacentral:tRNA from 1 species